GUCCAAUCCGUCCACCAGCUCUUUAGAAUGUGAGCGCUGGCAGCGAGGGCAGCCGACGAAUGCACAGCUAAGGAAAUAUUUACAAUUAGCAACUCUCCAAAGACGAAAAGCUGAGCGAGUCUUUUCCUGAGCUGCUCGUAUGUCACGUUGAGGACGCAGCAGAGGAAGGCGGAGCGUGCAGCGGGGAGCUGGCCAUGUCUGCAGCCAGAAACAGAGAAGCUGUGCAUGCUUUGUGGGGAGGCGCUACAGAGUGUUGAACCACCUCGACUCUUUGGAGGAGGAGCUUCAGAGGGAGGCGUGGUUUUGGAUUUUUGAUGAUACUUCGACUUUAUUCUUCACCAGAAUCGUGCAGAUGUUGUUUGAUUGAACUGGUUUGAGAACACAAGCGACCGAUCCAACAGCUGUCAGCACAGAAUGAUUCAAAUGGUGCUGAAUUCUGUUCGAAUGCAGAAAUGUGUGACUUUUUCCAACACAAAUACAAAAACAACCCAAAACUGAAUAAUGCGUUUAACAAGGAAUCAAUCACAAACAGUAAAAAGCUCCUUUAAAAAUGUGCUUUUGGUGCCUUCAAGUCUUUGGGUCUCUGCUUUUCGCUAGUUGAGAAAUUUUUAUCCUCGUUAAUGACGAUCGAAGGAGAAAUCUGAUGUGUAGAGUUUACAGGUUCAGUCUUAAACCUCCUGAACUGUUCCAAUGACAACAAACAUGUUUGAUCUUCAUGAGCUAAACUUGGGAUGGUUAUGGUUGCUACGGUAACGCAGUCUAGCCCGCGAGGCUAACGUUAGCUGCACAUAUCAAAAGUGAGGAACUAAAGUUGACUGUAUUGUCCCAACUUUUUUUUUCCUUCUGCUUUUGUUUUCUUCUCACUGCAAAGUCCUUUUAGCAUUACAGCAUUUUUCUUUACAUAUAGGGCCUCAUGAGAUCAUGUGAUGUGGCGCGCUGCUUCCUGAUUGGUCCGUCUUUCGCAGUGCUUUUAAUAACAUCCUGCGGUGGGAGAUGAACCAUUAUGUUCAUGUUUUGUGCAUGUCUUAGAUUAGAGGGGAGAAUAUGUGUGAAGUUUGUGUGUGACGAUUUCUAAAUCUGUUGGUAUUUUAAAACUCUUCCUCCUCUGCCGCAGAUGAAGGCCGGCGCUGUUAAUCUGUCACUGCUUUGCACCUCCAUAAAUCAGCAGAAUCCUUCUGGUUGAACUAAUAAUGAAAAUAAUAAUAAUAAUAAAUUGAGCUUCAAAGAUGA